GACGAACGCUGGCGGCGUGCCUAAUACAUGCAAGUCGAACGCUGAAGAGAGGAGCUUGCUCUUCUUGGAUGAGUUGCGAACGGGUGAGUAACGCGUAGGUAACCUGCCUUGUAGCGGGGGAUAACUAUUGGAAACGGUAGCUAAUACCGCAUAACAUUGUAUGACACAUGCCUUUUAUGUGAAAGGCGCAAUUGCUCCACUACAUGAUGGGACUUCGGUGGAUUAGCUUGGAGGUGAGGUAAUGGGUCACCUAGGCGAAGAUUCCGAGCCCGACGGAGAGGGGGAUUGGCCACACUGGGACGGGGACACGGGCCAGGCUCCUACGGGAGGCAGCAGUAAGGAAUCUUCGGGAACGGGGGGAAACCUGAACGGGCAACGCCGCGUGAGUGAAGAAGGUUUUCGGGUCCGAAAGCUCUGUUGUAAGGCAAGAACGAGAGUUGGAGUGGAAAGUGCACACUGUGACGGUAGCUUAUCAGAAAGCGACGGCUAACUACGUG
rnacentral:rRNA from 1 species